UACGAAGGGGGCUAGCGUUGCUCGGAAUCACUGGGCGUAAAGCGCACGUAGGCGGAUUGUUAAGUCAGGGGUGAAAUCCUGGAGCUCAACUCCAGAACUGCCUUUGAUACUGGCGAUCUUGAGUCCGGGAGAGGUGAGUGGAACUGCGAGUGUAGAGGUGAAAUUCGUAGAUAUUCGCAAGAACACCAGUGGCGAAGGCGGCUCACUGGCUCGGUACUGACGCUGAGGUGCGAAAGCGUGGGGAGCGAACAGG
rnacentral:rRNA from 1 species